UCAGGAUGAACGCUAGCGGCAGGCUUAACACAUGCAAGUCGAGGGGCAUCGGGAGUAGCAAUACUGCCGGCGACCGGCGCAAGGGUGCGUAACGCGUGAGCAACAUGCCCGUAUCAGGGGGAUAAUCCAUGGAAACGUGGUCUAAUACCCCAUAGUAAUUAUGUAAGGCAUCUUAUAUAAUUUAAAGCUUUGGUGGAUACGGAUUGGCUCGCGUGACAUUAGCUGGAUGGUAAGGUAACGGCUUACCAUGGCUACGAUGUCUAGGGGUUCUGAGAGGAAGGUCCCCCACACUGGAACUGAGACACGGUCCAGACUCCUACGGGAGGCAGCAGUGAGGAACAUUGGACAAUGGAUGGAAAUCUGAUCCAGCCAUGCCGCGUGCCAGGAAGACGGCCCUAUGGGUUGUAAACUGCUUUUGUAUGGGAGCAAUAAGGGCUACGUGUAGUCCGAUGAGAGUACCAUACGAAUAAGCACCGGCUAACUCCGUGCCAGCCGCCGC
rnacentral:rRNA from 1 species